rnacentral:rRNA from 1 species
AACGAACGCUGGCGGCGUGUUUAAGACAUGCAAGUCGCACGGUGUCAUUUUGGUAGCAAUACUUGGAUGGCACAGUGGCGCACGGGUGAGUAACACGUGAAUGACAUGCCCUAUAGUGGGGAAUAGCCCAGGGAAACUUGGAUUAAUACCCCAUGGUCUCGCAAGAGUAAAGGUGGCCGCAAGGCUGUCGCUAUAGGAUUGGUUCGCGUUCUAUCAGCUUGUUGGCGGGGUAACGGCCCACCAAGGCUACGACGGAUACCUGGUCUGAGUGGACGAUCAGGCACACUGGAACUGAGACACGGUCCAGACACCUACGGGUGGCAGCAGUCGAGAAUAAUUCACAAUGGGGGCAACCCUGAUGGUGCAACGCCGCGUGGAGGAUGAAGGUCUUCGGAUUGUAAACUCCUGUCAUCCGGGAGCAAGACCUGGCCGUGAAUAGCGGACAGGGUUGAUAGUACCGGAAGAGGAAGGGACGGCUAACUUCGUGCCAGCAGCCGCAGUAA